rnacentral:ncRNA from 2 species
ACCUAGGGUAGAGGAGCUAUAAUUAUGAUUAUUUAUUCUUAGCUGGCAGGCAAUUAGGAAUAAGGAAAGGAAUUAUGGCCGAAGAUUACACUUUGGCAAAGGGGUAAUCUGGUUUUGUAUAAAAUAUAUACAAAAUUGUCACUAUUGGUUUUAUAGUGGAGAGCUACAAGGUGC